AUCUAUGUCUUUAGAAUUUAGUACAAUCUAUAUUCUAGCCUGUAGAUAUAUAAUUUACUCUAUGACUUGAAGUAAUGGCUAUUAUGAUGUCAUAAUAACACCAUGAUGGUUAUGGCAAAACUCUAUAAUAUUUUAAAUAUAAUUCAUUACACCACUAUAUUACAUUUAAGAACAAGUAGAAAAUAAAUAAACAAUUAUAUUUGCACAUCAUGUGGGUUAUAUGUUUAUAUAUAUUUAAAAUAAAGGCUUAAUCUACAUUGGGCAGUUCGUUCAAACAUCUUGGAAGGGGAGG
rnacentral:lncRNA from 1 species